AGAACGGGCCAACGAGUUACGUUAUGUGGCAAGGUUAAGCACUUAAGGUGUGGAGCCGAAGCGAAAGCGAGUCUUAACUGGGCGAAUUAGUCACAUGACGUAGACCCGAAACCGGGCGACCUACCCAUGAGCAGGAUGAAGCGAAAGUAAAAUUUCGUGGAGGUCCGAACCCACGUACGUUGAAAAGUGCGGGGAUGACUUGUGGGUAGCGGUGAAAUUCCAAUCGAGCUCGGAGAUAGCUGGUUCUCCCCGAAAUAGCUUUAGGGCUAGCCUUGAAUGUAGAGAUGUGGAGGUAGAGCACUGAAUGUCCUAGGGGGUAUUGCACUUACCGAAGACUAUCAAACUCCGAAUGCCAUUAUCUUUUAUUCAGGAGUCAGACUAUGGGUGAUAAGGUUCAUAGUCGAAAGGGAAAGAGCCCAGACCGUCAGCUAAGGUCCCUAAAUGUAUGUUAAGUGGUAAAGGAUGUGGGAUUGCACAGACAACCAGGAUGUUGGCUUAGAAGCAGCCACUCAUUUAAAGAGUGCGUAAUAGCUCACUGGUCGAGUGAUCCUGCGCCGAAGAUUUCCGGGGCUAAAACAUACUACCGAAGCUACGGCAUCAUAAGAUGAUGGGUAGGGGAGCUUCCCAUGCAGGCUGAAGCGAUACCGUAAGGAGUCGUGGACAGUAUGGGAGAGAGAAUGUUGGCAUGAGUAGCGAGAUGAGGGUGAGAAUCCCUCAGGCCGUAAACCCAAGGUUUCCAGGGGAAGGUUCGUCCACCCUGGGUUAGUCGGGACCUAAGCUCAGGCCGAAAGGCGUAGGCGAUGGACAACAGGUUGAGAUUCCUGUACUACCGGUAAUCGUUUGAGAGAAGGGAUGACACAGUAGGAUAAGCUGAGCACACUGUUGGUUAAGUGUGUCUAAGCGUUGAGGCAGACUAGAUAGGCAAAUCCGUUUAGUUAAUGCUGGGGCGCGAUGGGGAGCGAAACUAAGUAGCGAAGCAGCUGAUUUCACACUGUCGAGAAAAGUCUCUAUCGAGAUUAAAGGUACCCGUACCGCAAACCGACACAGGUGGGUGAGGAGAGUAUCCUAAGGCCAGCGAGAGAACUGUUGUUAAGGAACUCGGCAAAAUGACCCCGUAACUUAGGGAUAAGGGGUGCCCCAGCAAUGGGGCCGCAGAGAAUUGGCCCAAGCGACUGUUUACCAAAAACAUAGGUUUCUGCUAAGUCGCAAGACGAUGUAUAGGAGCUGACGCCUGCCCGGUGCUGGAAGGUUAAGGGGAUCUGUAAGAGCAAUCGAAGCAGUGAUCUUAAGCCCCAGUAAACGGCGGCCGUAACUAUAACGGUCCUAAGGUAGCGAAAUUCCUUGUCGGGUAAGUUCCGACCCGCACGAAAGGCGUAACGAUUUGGGCACUGUCUCAACAACAGACUCGGUGAAAUUGUAAUCCCGGUGAAGAUGCCGGGUACCUGCGACAGGACGGAAAGACCCCAUGGAGCUUUACUGUAGCUUGACAUUGGGUUUCGAUACUACAUGUACAGGAUAGGUGGGAGACUAAGAAAUCAGGGCGUCAGUUUUGAUGGAGUCACCCUUGGGAUACCACCCUUGUAGUAUUGGGACUCUAACCAUAGGCCAUGAAUCUGGUCUUGGGACACUGUCUGGUGGGCAGUUUGACUGGGGCGGUCGCCUCCCAAAAGGUAACGGAGGCGCUCAAAGGUUCCCUCAGUACGGUCGGAAAUCGUACGAAGAGUGUAAAGGCAAAAGGGAGCUUGAUUGCAAGACAUACAGGUCGAGCAAGGUAGAAAUACGGACUUAGUGAUCCGGUGGUUCUGAGUGGAAGGGCCAUCGCUCAACGGAUAAAAGCUACCCUGGGGAUAACAGGCUUAUCUCCCCCAAGAGUCCACAUCGACGGGGAGGUUUGGCACCUCGAUGUCGGCUCAUCACAUCCUGGGGCUGUAGUUGGUCCCAAGGGUUGGGCUGUUCGCCCAUUAAAGUGGUACGCGAGCUGGGUUCAGAACGUCGUGAGACAGUUCGGUCCCUAUCCGUCGCAGGCGUAGGAAAUUUGAGAAGAUCUGUCCUUAGUACGAGAGGACCGGGAUGGACAUACCUCUGGUGUACCAGUUGUUCUGCCAAGGGCAUGGCUGGGUAGCUAUGUAUGGAAGGGAUAAGCGCUGAAAGCAUCUAAGCGCGAAGCCAACUUCAAGAUAAGAUUUCCCACCGCAAGGUUAAGAUCCCAGGAAGACUACCUGGUUGAUAGGUCAGAGGUGUAAGUGCAGCAAUGUA
rnacentral:rRNA from 1 species